rnacentral:rRNA from 1 species
GGACCCGCACAAGUAGUGGAGCAUGUGGUUUAAUUCGAAGAUACGCGCAGAACCUUACCAACACUUGACAUGUUCGUCGCGACUUUAAGAGAUUAAAGUUUUCGGUUCGGCCGGACGAAACACAGGUGCUGCAUGGCUGUCGUCAGCUCGUGUCGUGAGAUGUUGGUUAAGUCCCGCAACGAGCGCAACCCUCACUUUUAGUUGCCAUCAUUUAGUUGGGCACUCUGAAAGAACUGCCAGUGAUAAGCUGGAGGAAGGUGGGGAUGACGUCAAGUCCUCAUGGCCCUUAUGUGUUGGGCUACACACGUGCUACAAUGCCCAGCACAAUGAGAACCGAGACCGCAAGGUGGAGGAAA